rnacentral:misc_RNA from 1 species
GAUGAAGAACGCAGCGAAAUGCGAUAAGUAAUGUGAAUUGCAGAAUUCAGUGAAUCAUCGAAUCUUUGAACGCACAUUGCGCCCCCUGGUAUUCCGGGGGGCAUGCCUGUUCGAGCGUCAUUUCACCACUCAAGCCUCGCUUGGUAUUGGGCAACGCGGUCCGCCGCGUGCCUCAAAUCGACCGGCUGGGUCUUCUGUCCCCUAAGCGUUGUGGAAACUAUUCGCUAAAGGGUGUUCGGGAGGCUACGCCGUAAAACAACCCCAUUUCUAAGGUUGACCUCGAAUCAGGUAGGGAUACCCGCUGAACUUAAGCAUAUCAAUAAGCGGAGGA